GAGCUUUUGGCUCGGGUUAUACCUGACGCUCACGUAUAAGACGAGCAAAAAGCUUGUUGGUCA
ensembl:miRNA MIR208A microRNA 208a